rnacentral:rRNA from 1 species
UACGGAGGGUGCAAGCGUUAUCCGGAUUUACUGGGUUUAAAGGGUGCGUAGGCGGGCAGGUAAGUCAGAGGUGAAAUCUCCGAGCUUAACUCGGAAACUGCCUUUGAUACUAUUUGUCUUGAAUAUUGUGGAGGUAAGCGGAAUAUGUCAUGUAGCGGUGAAAUGCUUAGAUAUGACAUAGAACACCUAUUGCGAAGGCAGCUUACUACGCAUAUAUUGACGCUGAGGCACGAAAGCGUGGGGAGCAAACAGG